GACGAACGCUGGCGGCGUGCCUAAUACAUGCAAGUUGAGCGAUGAAGAUUGGUGCUUGCACCAAUUUGAAGAGCAGCGAACGGGUGAGUAACGCGUGGGGAAUCUGCCUUUGAGCGGGGGACAACAUUUGGAAGCGAAUGCUAAUACCGCAUAACAACUUUAAACAUAAGUUUUAAGUUUGAAAGAUGCAAUUGCAUCACUCAAAGAUGAUCCCGCGUUGUAUUAGCUAGUUGGUGAGGUAAAGGCUCACCAAGGCGAUGAUACAUAGCCGACCUGAGAGGGUGAGCGGCCACAUUGGGACGGAGACACGGCCCAAACUCCUACGGGAAGCAGCAGUAGGGAAUCGUCGGCAAUGGACGAAAGUCUGACCGAGCAACGCCGCGGGAGUGAAGAAGGUUGUCGGAUCGUAAAACUCGGUUGGUAGAGAAGAACGUUGGUGAGAGUGGAAAGCUCAUCAAGUGACGGUAACUACCCAGAAAGGGACGGCUAACUACGUG
rnacentral:rRNA from 1 species